rnacentral:rRNA from 1 species
CUGUAGCGUCGUGCCUAUACUCGGCCGUCAACGGCAAAGUGGGCGACCCCCUCGCGGGGGUCGGGCCGUUAAGCCUUGACGAGUAGGAGGGUCGCGGCGGUGUGCACUGAAGGGUCACGGCGUGAGCCGGCCUGGAGCCGCCGUCGGCGCAGAUCUUGGUGGUAGUAGCAAAUACUCCAGCGAGGACCUGGAGGACUGACGUGGAGAAGGGUUUCUUGUGAACAGCUGUUGCACAAGAGUCAGUCGACCCUAAGCCCUAGGAGAAAUCCCACGUUGAUGGGUCGCCGGACAAACUCAAAAAACCAAUGAAUUUGACGGCACCCUCAGGGCGAAAGGGAAUCCGGUUCCUAUUCCGGAACCCGGUAGCGGAACCGUUCCAAAACGGGCCCUCGCAAGAGUGCUCGUCGGGGCAACCCAAAGAGACCCGGAGACGCCGUCGGGAGAUCCGGAGAGAGUUUUCUUUUCUCUAUAAGCGUUCGAGUUCGCUGGAAUCCUCUAGCAGGGAGAUAGGGUUUGGAACGCGAAGAGCACCGCAGUUGCAGCGGUGUCCGGAUCUUCCCCUCGGACCUUGAAAAUCCGGGAGAGGGCUACGUGGAAAGUUCGCACCGGAUCGUACCCAUAUCCGCAGCAGGUCUCCAAGGUUAAGAGCCUCUAGUCGAU